rnacentral:rRNA from 1 species
CGCGGCCUAUCAGCUUGUUGGUGAGGUAAUGGCUCACCAAGGCGACGACGGGUAGCCGGCCUGAGAGGGCGACCGGCCACACUGGGACUGAGACACGGCCCAGACUCCUACGGGAGGCAGCAGUGGGGAAUAUUGCACAAUGGGCGAAAGCCUGAUGCAGCGACGCCGCGUGAGGGAUGACGGCCUUCGGGUUGUAAACCUCUUUCAGCAGGGAAGAAGCGAAAGUGACGGUACCUGCAGAAGAAGCACCGGCUAACUACGUGCCAGCAGCCGCGGUAAUACGUAGGGUGCGAGCGUUGUCCGGAAUUAUUGGGCGUAAAGAGCUUGUAGGCGGUUUGUCACGUCUGCUGUGAAGAUCCGGGGCUCAACCCCGGACUUGCAGUGGGUACGGGCAGACUAGAGUGUGGUAGGGGAGACUGGAAUUCCUGGUGUAGCGGUGAAAUGCGCAGAUAUCAGGAGGAACACCGAUGGCGAAGGCAGGUCUCUGGGCCACUACUGACGCUGAGAAGCGAAAGCAUGGGGAGCGAACAGGAUUAGAUACCCUGGUAGUCCAUGCCGUAAACGUUGGGCGCUAGGUGUGGGACUCAUUCCACGAGUUCCGUGCCGCAGCUAACGCAUUAAGCGCCCCGCCUGGGGAGUACGG